AUAUCCAUGUAAUGUAUCUGAUUCGGAAAUUAAAGGGUAUAGUUAUAGUAUUAGACAUG
rnacentral:sRNA from 1 species